CCACAGUCCAUGAGGUCACAAAGAGUCAGACAUGACUGAAGCGACCUAGCAUGCACUCACACCGUAACUAAAGGUAGAAAACCUGGAUGAUGGGCAGACAUAAGUGACCUUUCAUUUUUCUCUUGCAAUGGUAGGCGACGCUCUCAGCUCUACAUCCUCAGAACUCAAGUCGCCUGUAAUCUUCAGUUGCUACCUUUUGUGAUUUGCAGGUCUUCCAUCCCGUACAUGUUCCCGUCCUCCACAUUCAGAAAUGAGAUGUUGGUGGACUCCCAGAGAAAGUUCAGUUUCCCACAGAUGACUCAGAGUUGGGUUUUAUGCAGCAGCAGGUCCCGUAAAGGACCCAUGUGGAUAUUUUGGUGUUCUCGGCUGAAGGAUGCUUUAGAAGCGUAAAGCCACC
rnacentral:lncRNA from 1 species